rnacentral:tRNA from 1 species
UGGCUGAGCGGUAAAGCGUCUGGCUUCUGAACCGGGAAUCCCGGGUUCGAAUCCUGG